rnacentral:rRNA from 1 species
GACGAACGCUGGCGGCGUGCUUAACACAUGCAAGUCGAACGGUGAAGCGCCUUCCUUUUUGGUGGGUGUGGAUGAGUGGCGAACGGGUGAGUAACACGUGAGUAACCUGCCCCCUUCUUUUGGAUAACCGCAUGAAAGUGUGGCCAAUACGGGAGAUUCUGGGCCUGUGGCAUGAUGGGUCUGUGAAAGAUAUUGGUUCGGGGGGGGAUGGGCUCGCGGCGUAUCAGCGUGUUGGUGGGGUGAUGGCCUACGAAGGCGGUGAGGGGUAGCCGGCCUGAGAGGGUGGACGGCCACAGUGGGACUGAGGCACGGCCGAGACUCCUACAGGGGGCAGCAGUGGGGAAUAUUGCGCAGUGGGCGCUAGUCUGAUGCAGCGACGCCGCGUGCGGGAUAGAGGCCUUCGGGUUGUGAACCUCUUUCGCCAGUGAAGCAGGCCUGCCUGGUUUGUGGGUGGGUUGACGGUAGCUGGAUAAGAAGCGCCGGCUAACUACGUG